AAAUUGAAGAGUUUGAUCAUGGCUCAGAUUGAACGCUGGCGGCAGGCCUAACACAUGCAAGUCGAACGGUAACAGGAAGAAGCUUGCUUCUUUGCUGACGAGUGGCGGACGGGUGAGUAAUGUCUGGGAAACUGCCUGAUGGAGGGGGAUAACUACUGGAAACGG
rnacentral:rRNA from 1 species